rnacentral:rRNA from 1 species
AUUGAACGCUGGCGGCAUGCUUUACACAUGCAAGUCGAACGGCAGCGCGGGCUUCGGCCUGGCGGCGAGUGGCGAACGGGUGAGUAAUACAUCGGAACGUGCCCAGUAGUGGGGGAUAGCUCGGCGAAAGCCGGAUUAAUACCGCAUACGACCUGAGGGUGAAAGCGGGGGGGCUUCGGACCUCGCGCCAUUGGGGCGGGCGAUGGCAGAUUAGCUAGUUGGUGGGGUAAAGGCCUACCGAGGAGGAGAACCGUAGCUGGUCUGAGAGGACGACCAGCCACACUGGGACUGAGACACGGCCCAGACUCCUACGGGAGGCAGCAGUGGGGAAUUUUGGACAAUGGGCGAAAGCCUGAUCCAGCAAUGCCGCGUGUGUGAUGAAGGCCUUCGGGUUGUAAAGCACUUUUGGCGGGAACGAAAAGGACUGUGCCAAUACCACGGUUCGAUGACGGUACCCGCAGAAUAAGCACCGGCUAACUACGUG